UGAAACUGAAGUUCUUGAGGGCAGGAGAGGAAAGUGGAAUUCCUGGUGUAGCGGUGAAAUGCGUAGAAAUCAGGAGGAACACCGGUGGCGAAGGCGACUGCCUGGACUGACCCUGACGCUG
rnacentral:rRNA from 1 species